rnacentral:rRNA from 1 species
UAAUACAUGCAAGUCGAGCGGACUUGAUGGAGUGCUUGCACUCCUGAUGGUUAGCGGCGGACGGGUGAGUAACACGUAGGUAACCUGCCCAUAAGACUGGGAUAACCCACGGAAACGUGAGCUAAUACCAGAUAGGCAUUUUCCUCGCAUGAGGGAAAUGAGAAAGGCGGAGCAAUCUGUCACUUAUGGAUGGACCUGCGGCGCAUUAGCUAGUUGGUGAGGUAACGGCUCACCAAGGCGACGAUGCGUAGCCGACCUGAGAGGGUGAUCGGCCACACUGGGACUGAGACACGGCCCAGACUCCUACGGGAGGCAGCAGUAGGGAAUCUUCCGCAAUGGACGAAAGUCUGACGGAGCAACGCCGCGUGAGUGAUGAAGGUUUUCGGAUCGUAAAGCUCUGUUGCCAGGGAAGAACGCCUAGGAGAGUAACUGCUCUUAGGGUGACGGUACCUGAGAAGAAAGCCCCGGCUAACUACGUGCCAG